AAGCUGCUCGAGAAGUGGCGGGAGUGGCGGCUAUGGAAGCGCUGGAGGAGAAAGAGGCGCAGGUUGCUGCCUGGUUGAAAAAAAUAUUUGGAGAUCAUCCCAUUCCACAAUAUGAGGUGAAUCCGCGGACAACGCAGAUUUUGCAUCACCUUUCAGAACGCAACAGGGUCCGGGACAGGGAUGUCUACCUGGUAAUAGAGGACUUGAAACAAAAAGCAAGGGAAUAUGAAUCAGAAGCUAAGCAUCUUCAAGACCUUCUCCUGGAGAGUGUGAAUUUUUCCCCUGCCAAUCUCUCUAGCACUGGUUCCAGGUAUCUGAAUGCUUUGGUUGACAGUGCUGUGGCCCUUGAAACAAAGGAUACCUCACUAGCUAGUUUUAUCCCUGCAGUGAAUGAUUUGACCUCUGAUCUUUUUUGCACCAAAUCCAAAAACGAAGAAAUCAAGCUUGAAUUGGCAAAACUUGAGAAAAAUCUAACUGCAACUUUAGUAUUAGAAAAAUGUCUACAAGAGGAUCUCAAGAAGGCAGAGUUGCAUCUGUCUAUGGAAAGGACCAAAGUUGACAAUCGUCUUCAGAACAUGGACUUCCUAAAAGCCAAGUCAGAGGAGUUCAGGUCUGGAAUUAGAGCUGCAGAGGAGCAACUUUCAGCCAGAGGAAUGGAUGCUUCCCUGUCUCAUCAGUCACUGGUAGCACUUUCAGAGAAAUUGGCAGAACUAAAACGACAGACUAUACCUUUGAAGAAAAAAUUGGAGUCCUAUUUAGAUUUAAUGCCGGUAAUUAUUUUUAUGAAACAAACAAACAAAAAUGUUCCUCUUUUCCACCUUUCCCCAAGGGCACUAAAUGAUCAUGAAAAUACUGGGUCCAUGUUUGAGGAUUUAAAAUCUAUGCUGAGGGACUUCCCUGGUGGUCCAGUGGCUAAGACUCCAUGCUCCCAAUGCAGGGGGCCCGGGUUCGAUCCCUGGUCAGAGAACUAGAUCCCACAAGCCUCAACUAAGAGUUCGCAUUCUGCAACUAAAGAUCCCACAUGCCACAACUAAGACCCGGUGCGGCCAAAUAAAUAUUUAAAAAAUAAAUAAAUAAAGUCUGUGCUGAAUUUUUGUAUUGUAUGUACAUUGGAUAUACUUCUACAACAUUUUUUGCCUUUUGAAAAGGAUUGUUACAUUCUUUUUCCCCUUGCAUCCUAGCUGAGGCAACAUAACCUUUCUUAUUUUAUUUUCCUUUAAAAGAAUCCAUCUCUUGCUCAGGUGAAAAUUGAAGAAGCAAAGCGAGAAUUAGAUACUGUUGAAGCUGAACUUACAAAGAAAGUAAACAUGAUGGAACUGUGACCAGAGCCAAAUAAAUUUCAUCUUAACAAAGUAAACUGAAUAGGACUUUAAAGCAUUAUUUCCUCAUGGCAUUCCUUACACCUUAAUUUCUGUGUUCUUAGAUGAGAUAAUAAUGUCAUUAUUGAUAGAAUAGUGGUUUCUGAUUGUGUAUUAAAUUUUUAUGCUCAAAUACAGUUUUCGUAUGAAAAAACAUUGGUUUUCUAUGCUGUUGGUGGUUAAAUGUCCUUCAGUAGUUCUCUUAGGUGAACUGUGACUGUUGUCCUGCAGUCGCUCACUAGGUCAGCUAAGUGAAAGGGAAAGGUUCUGCAACUUCAGUUAUGU